rnacentral:snRNA from 1 species
AUCGCUUCUCGGCCUUUUGGCUCAGAUCAAGUGUAGUAUCUGUUCUUAUCAGUUUAAUAUCCGAUACGUCCCCCAUCGGGGGACUACAUAUUAAAUGGAUUUUUCGAACAGGGAGUCGGAAAUGGGGCUUGCUCCGUCCGCUCCACGCAUCGACCCGGUAUUGCAGUACCUCCGGGAAUGGUGCAACACUU